UUUAAGUAGAAACUGUCUAGCCAUGGCGUUAGUAUGAGUGUCGGGCAGCCUGCCAAGGACUCCCCCUCCCGGGAGAGCCAUAGUGGUCUGCGGAACCGGUGAGUACACCGGAAUUGCCAGGACGACCGGGUCCUUUCUUGGAUCAAACCCGCUCAAUGCCUGGAGAUUUGGGCGUGCCCCCGCGAGACUGCUAGCCGAGUAGUGUUGGGUCGCGAAAGGCCUUGUGGUACUGCCUGAUAGGGUGCUCGAGAGU
rnacentral:other from 12 species